rnacentral:rRNA from 1 species
AGCAGCCGCGGUAAUUCCAGCUCCAAUAGCGUAUAUUAAAGUUGUUGCAGUUAAAAAGCUCGUAGUUGAAUUUCGGGGUCAGUAGGUCGGUCGUGCCUACGGUAUGUACUGGUCUCACUGAUUCCUCCUUCUUGAAGAACCGUAAUGUCAUUAACUUGGUGUUGCGGGGAAACAGGACUGUUACUUUGAAAAAAUUAGAGUGUUUAAAGCAGGCCAUCGCCUGAAUACAUUAGCAUGGAAUAAUGAAAUAGGACGUUCGAUCCUAUUUUGUUGGUUUCUAGGAUUGACGUAAUGAUUAAUAGGGAUAGUUGGGGGGCAUUAGUAUUCAAUUGUCAGAGGUGAAAUUCUUGGAUUUAUUGAAGACUAACUACUGCGAAAGCAUUUGCCAAGGAUGUUUUCAUUAAUCAAGAACGAAAGUUAGGGGAUCGAAGACGAUCAGAUACCGUCGUAGUCUUAACCAUAAACUAUGCCGACUAGGGAUCGGAUGAUGUUAAUUUUUAAUGACUCAUUCGGCGCCUUA